GCCAGGUGUGGUGGUGCAUGCCUGUAAUCCAAACUGCUCAGGAGGCUGAGGCAGGAGAAUCACUUGAGCCCAGGAGGUGGAGGUUGCUGUGAGCCAAGAUCAUGCCACACUGCACUCCAGCCUGGGCAACAAAGUGAGACUCUGUCUCAA
ensembl:misc_RNA Metazoa_SRP Metazoan signal recognition particle RNA